UACAGAGGUCCCAAGCGUUGUUCGGAUUCAUUGGGCGUAAAGGGUGUGUAGGUGGCGCCGUAAGUCAGGUGUGAAAUCUCGGGGCUUAACUCCGAAACUGCAUUUGAUACUGCGGUGCUUGAGGACUGGAGAGGAGACUGGAAUUCAUGGUGUAGCAGUGAAAUGCGUAGAGAUCAUGAGGAAGACCAGUGGCGAAGGCGGGUCUCUGGACAGUUCCUGACACUGAGACACGAAGGCCAGGGGAGCAAACGGG
rnacentral:rRNA from 1 species